AGCGAACGCUGGCGGCAGGCCUAACACAUGCAAGUCGAACGGAUCCUUCGGGAUUAGUGGCGGACGGGUGAGUAACACGUGGGAACGUGCCCUUUGGUUCGGAACAACUCAGGGAAACUUGAGCUAAUACCGGAUGUACCCUUCGGGGGAAAGAUUUAUCGCCAUUGGAGCGGCCCGCGUCUGAUUAGCUAGUUGGUGAGGUAAAGGCUCACCAAGGCGACGAACAGUAGCUGGUCUGAGAGGAUGAUCAGCCACAUUGGGACUGAGACACGGCCCAAACUCCUACGGGAGGCAGCAGUGGGGAAUCUUGCGCAAUGGGCGAAAGCCUGACGCAGCCAUGCCGCGUGAAUGAUGAAGGUCUUAGGAUUGUAAAAUUCUUUCACCGGGGACGAUAAUGACGGUACCCGGAGAAGAAGCCCCGGCUAACUUCGUGCCAGCCGCCGCAGUAAUAC
rnacentral:rRNA from 1 species